rnacentral:rRNA from 1 species
GACGAACGCUGGCGGCAUGCCUAAUACAUGCAAGUCGAGCGAACAGAUGAAGUGCUUGCACUUCUGACGUUAGCGGCGAACGGGUGAGUAACACGUAAGGAAUCUACCUAUAAGCGGGGGAUAACAUUCGGAAACGGGUGCUAAUACCGCAUAAUAUCUUCUUCCGCAUGGAAGAAGAUUGAAAGACGGCUCUGCUAUCACUUAUAGAUGACCUUGCGGUGCAUUAGUUAGUUGGUGGGGUAACGGCCUACCAAGACGAUGAUGCAUAGCCGACCUGAGAGGGGGAUCGGCCACAUUGGGACUGAGACACGGCCCAAACUCCUACGGGAGGCAGCAGUAGGGAAUCUUCCGCAAUGGGCGAAAGCCUGACGGAGCAAUGCCGCGUGAGUGAAGAAGGCCUUCGGGUCGUAAAACUCUGUUAUAAGCGAAGAACAAAUUGUAGAGUAACUGCUACAGUCUUGACGGUAUCUUAUCAGAAAGCCACGGCUAACUACGUGCCAGCAGCCGCGGUAA